CUAUCAACCACUCAGCCAUCUCUCCCGGAGUUC
rnacentral:tRNA from 9 species